UUAGAACAAAAAGGCUAGAGCUUUCCAAAAUUGCAGGGUAUUGAAAAUGCGAUUGGGAAGCUGCAGAGAUAUUUGGCAGCAAUAACCUACAGACGAAGCCAACAAACCUAAUCUAUGCAUAUUCAAGCAGAUUCAGCAGGAGACAUUCAACACAAGCUGCACCCGUGUGUACAUAGCGAACUAACUAGAAGCCACAGGGGGAGAAGAAAAAAAGUUCCAACCGCCACAAAUUCGAGAGCACGUACUACUUGAACCGCCCAACUGCAAGAAGAAUCCGAAUCGCCUUUAAUCGUCGCAUACAUUUGCAUGUACAGGAAUUUGACUGAAAUGGUGUUACUAAAGGACGACAGACAAUGAUGCUGAGAGAUAUAUGACUGCAAAGGAUCCAUGGAAUGGCAUGACCCAUACUUCCUCCAGAGCCGGAAAGCUGCAGUCAUACAUCAUUUAUCAACCAUUUGUCUGAUGUCAGAGGACUUGAGAGGACUCCACCCCAAUCCUGAAAGAAGACAGCUUCUGUCUGUUUGUUUUUAACAAAUUAAUUAAAAAUAAAAAGCUGAAAUGUC